AGGCAAACUCCGAAUACCGAAGAGUACAGCUUGGGAGACAGAGCACCGGGUGCUAACGUCCGGACUCAAGAGGGAAACAACCCAGACCGCCAGCUAAGGUCCCUAAAAUUGGCUAAGUGGGAAACGAAGUGGGAAGGCUAAAACAGUCAGGAUGUUGGCUUAGAAGCAGCCAUCAUUUAAAGAAAGCGUAAUAGCUCACUGAUCGAGUCGUCCUGCGCGGAAGAUGUAACGGGGCUAAGCCAGUUACCGAAGCUGCGGAUUUGCAAUUUAUUGCAAGUGGUAGGAGAGCGUUCUGUAAGCCUGUGAAGGUGUCUUGUAAAGGAUGCUGGAGGUAUCAGAAGUGCGAAUGCUGACAUGAGUAGCGUUAAAGGGGGUGAAAAGCCCCCUCGCCGUAAGCGCAAGGUUUUCUACGCAACGUUCAUCGGCGUAGAGUGAGUCGGCCCCUAAGGCGAGGCAGAGAUGCGUAGCUGAUGGGAAGCAGGUUAAUAUUCCUGCACCGUCGUAUGAUGCGAUGGGGGGACGGAUCGCGGAAGGUUGUCCGGGUGUUGGAUGUCCCGGUCCCUGCAUUGGAGAUGGCACUUAGGCAAAUCCGGGUGCGUGAUUCAAGGGUGUGGGGCGAGCGACUUUAGGUCGCGAAGCAAUUGGAAGUGGUUCCAAGAAAAGCCUCUAAGCUUCAGUCAUACGAGACCGUACCGCAAACCGACACAGGUGGGCGAGAUGAGUAUUCUAAGGCGCUUGAGAGAACUCGGGAGAAGGAACUCGGCAAAUUGGUACCGUAACUUCGGGAUAAGGUACGCCCUUGUAGUUUGACUGGCUCGCGCCAGAAGGACGAAGGGGUUGCAAUAAAAUGGUGGCUGCGACUGUUUAAUAAAAACACAGCACUCUGCAAACACGAAAGUGGACGUAUAGGGUGUGACGCCUGCCCGGUGCUGGAAGAUUAAAUGAUGGGGUGCAAGCUCUUGAUUGAAGUCCCAGUAAACGGCGGCCGUAACUAUAACGGUCCUAAGGUAGCGAAAUUCCUUGUCGGGUAAGUUCCGACCUGCACGAAUGGUCUAAUGAGUUGUACACUGUCUCCUCCACGAGCCCGGUGAAAUUGUAGUAUCGGUGAAGAUGCCGGUUACCCGCCACGGGACGGAAAGACCCCGUGAACCUUCACUACAACUUUGCAUUGAUUUUGAGCAACAAAUGUGUAGGAUAGUUGGGAG
rnacentral:rRNA from 1 species